rnacentral:rRNA from 1 species
UACGUAGGGGGCGAGCGUUGUCCGGAUUUAUUGGGCGUAAAGAGCGUGUAGGCGGCCAGGUAGGUCUGCUGUGAAAACUCGAGGCUCAACCUCGAGACGUCGGCGGAAACCAUCUGGCUAGAGUCCGGAAGAGGAGAGUGGAAUUCCUGGUGUAGCGGUGAACUGCGCAGAUAUCAGGAAGAACACCCGUGGCGAAGGCGGCUCUCUGGGACGGUACUGACGCUGAGACGCGAAAGCGUGGGGAGCGAACAGG